ACCUUGUUACAGUGAGGA
rnacentral:misc_RNA from 1 species